CCCCCUCUAUGACGUUCUAUUCCAAGAGACUUGUACACGGUCCGGCACGGAAAGCACUUCUNUAGAUUACANCUCGGACAACCGUAAAGCUGCCAGAUUUUAAAUUUGAGCUUUUCCCUCUUCACUCGCAGUUANUAGGGGAAUCCUUGUUAGUUUCUUUUNUCUUGGUUCNNUUAGAGGAAGUAAAAGUCGUAACAAGGUUUCCGUAGGUGAACCUGCGGAAGGAUSAUUAUAGAAUUAUUUAUUGGUUGUAGCUGGUCUUCGCAAGAUGACAUGUGCACACCUUUAUUCAUCAAUCACACCCUGUGCACCUUUUGUAGACUUUGUUGUCUAUGUUUUUCAUAUACACACUCCAUAAAGUUUAGAAUGUUUUGGUUUUGGAAAUAAUUAAUACAACUUUCAACAAUGGAUCUCUUGGCUCUCGCAUCGAUGAAGAACGCAGCGAAACGCGAUAAGUAAUGUGAAUUGCAGAAUUCAGUGAAUCAUCGAAUCUUUGAACGCACCUUGCGCUCCUUGGUAUUCCGAGGAGCAUGCCUGUUUGAGUGUCAUUGAAUUAUCAAUCACUUUUUUCUUYGAGAAAAGGGAUUUGGAUUUGGAGUGUUGCUGGCCAUCAAAGUCAGCUCCUCUUAAAUGCAUUAGCGUGUACACUUUGUGGAAUAGGCUUUGGUUUGAUAAAAUAUCUAUGCCAUCGCCAUGAAGCAAAAAGUCAGCUACAAAUAAAAAUGAAACAUUUUGUACUCUUGACCUCAAAUCAGGUAGGACUACCCGCUGAACUUAAGCAUAUCAAUAAGCGGAGGAAAAGAAACUAACAAGGAUUCCCCUAGUAACUGCGAGUGAAGAGGGAAAAGCUCAAAUUUAAAAUCUGGCAGCUUUACGGUUGUCCGAGUUGUAAUCUAGAGAAGUGCUUUCCGUGCCGGACCGUGUACAAGUCUCUUGGAAUAGAACGUCAUAGAGG
rnacentral:rRNA from 1 species